rnacentral:lncRNA from 7 species
GCGAGGAGAGGAAAUUCGAUAGUGGUAGGAGCUUCCUUUCCUUUCCUUAAUUUGUACCGGAUCGGAUUAACUAGCUAGGAAUCAAUAUAGUCUGUCUCUAUCGAUCAAUGGUGGCGUGGUGUGGUGGUGGAUCGAUGGAUUGGUGGAUGGAGAUGAUGAACUAUAGAGAGAUCAGAGGUAAUUUUGAUCUGAUCGUAAUUUAAUCAUUCUGGGUAGCUAGCU